rnacentral:rRNA from 1 species
AAUAUUAGAAGUUAUGUUCUUUAAAUUUAAAAAAUUUGGCGGUGUUUUAGUCUAGUUAGAGGAACCUGUAUCAUAAACGAUACAACACGCAUUAUUUUACUUGUUUUUGUAGUCAGUUUGUAUACCGUCAUUAUAAGAUAAUUUAAGAGAGAAUAUUAUUAGGAUCAUAUUAUUGAGUAUAUUAGAUCAAGGUGCAGCUUAUAAAUAAGUAGUUAUGGGUUACAAUAAAAUUUAUUUAUUAUGGAUUAGAUAUUAAAAUAUAUUUAUGAAGGAGGAUUUAAUUGUAAGAAAAGAAUUAGUAAGAUUUUUUGAUAAAAGCUCUAAAUUAUGUACAUAUCGCCCG